rnacentral:piRNA from 1 species
UAGAAGCUGCAAGGAAAGGCCAAGA